rnacentral:rRNA from 1 species
CCUACGGGAGGCUGCAGUGGGGAAUAUUGGACAAUGGGGGAAACCCUGAUCCAGCGACGCCGCGUGAGUGAAGACGUAUUUCGGUACGUAAAGCUCUAUCAGCAGGAAAGACAAUGACGGUACCUGACUCAGAAGCCCCGGCUAACUACGUGCCAGCAGCCGCGGUAAUACGGAGGGUGCGAGCGUUAAUCGGAAUUACUGGGGGUAAAGCGCUCGUAGGCGGUAUGUCAAGUCAAGGGUUAAAUCCCCGCGCUCAACGUGGGAACUGCCUUUGAAACUGGCAGACUGGAGUGUGUGAGAGGAUAGUGGAAUGCGAGGUGUAGGAGUGAAAUCCGUAGAUAUCUGGAGGAACAUCAGUGGCGAAGGCGACUAUCUGGCACAUAACUGACGCUGAGGAGCGAAAGCGUGGGUAGCAAACAGGAUUAGAUACCCUGGUAGUC